GACAUUUAACCUCGGUUCAAGUUAAUGCAUGAUAAUUUGAGCAUUAUGGCCCUUGGAACGUAACUCUUCCUUGCGCAGGAACAGUUACAUGUACCACCUACUGUAAAUGUUAGUAACUUCACAUUUCGCGCACAGAUUGUACUUAUGGGCUUAGUUUUAUUAUGCUGGCGAUUAUUGUUAUCAUCACCAUCCUAAACAUCUUACUCUUUAACUGAAAGUGAGCGUGUUCUCCUGGACGCAAUAUUGCCUCUUUUUGUUCCUGAAAUGCCUGACACUGGCAGUCAUGUUCAAGUCUACAUAGUGUUAUAACAAACAGGACAGUGUGCUGUAUCUCCUCUCCUACUGCAUGACAACUGUGAGGAUGCCAGUAGCAAAGGACUUUGAGAGGGAAAUGAUUGAAGAGAAGAAACGUCAGUAAGAAGGCAAAUGGAACUUGGAAUGAAGUUGAGAUUGAGAUGAUGAAUAGUUUGGGCAUCGCAAGCGCUACAGUGGUCCAACCUCAGACUUCAAAGAGGAGGAGGAGGAGGAGGAAGGCUACAUCACAGAUGAUAAUGGACAUGUGCUUAAUGCAAAGGAGGCUUUCAGAUACCUGUCUCAUAAAUUUCAUGGAAAGGGACCUGGCAGAAAUAAAGUAGAGAAACGAAUGAAGAACAAUAAACAGGAAGGAUUGAUGAAACAGAUGAGCUCAACAGACACCCCACUUGGAACGCUUAGCGUCUUGCAGCAGCAACAGAAAGAAACAGUCUCCAUUCAUGGUCCUUAGUGACAGUAAACAAACAUGAGUAUGCUUUUUGUCUGUCACUGAUUCAAUUCAUUCAAAAGAACUGCCAGUUCUAACUAAGAAAUAGGCAGCCGUCUCGAAAACAAAACUGUAAAUUCUUCAUGAAAUAUGCUGGCACCAGCUCUGAAGUUUAGUGUGGACUUAUGUGUUUAUUGUUUCUUACUGCCUGAAAUUAUCAUCUCUAUUUUUAAAUAAGACACAGCUUGCAGCUGCCGAUAUUGCCUAAAUGUACUGCAAGGAAGGCCACAGAGUUCAUGUCACAUUCAAAUGAGUACAGUGUUCCUCCUGCUUCCUUAGGUAACCUGUUGGCACCUGGUAGCUGAAAAGUACAAUUUCUAAUGAUUAGUUGCUUGUUUAUAGGACUUGAGCCAGAUGAACAGCUUCUAAACUAAAUCAGACAGAAGUAAUUAUAUUUGGCCUUUCUUGAUUGCAAUAGCAAUAUUUGUACACCCCCAUCCAUGCUGCAUUCAACUCUGAAAAUUGCAACAAGCAACAGAAUCAGAAGAUGUACAGUCUACUGCAAAUCAUUGUAAAGCACCACUGCUAUAUUACUGAAACAGUUGUAAUGGGUUAUAAAAGUAACCUUGUUCAUCCUGGUCCAUCACACUAGUAAUUGUAUAUAAUAUUUUUAACCACCGUCCAUUGUGAUUGAUAAAAGU